rnacentral:rRNA from 1 species
CCAAUAGCGUAUAUUAAAGUUGUUGCAGUUAAAAAGCUCGUAGUUGAAUUUCGGGAUCAAGGAAUCGGUCAUGCCUUGGUAUGUACUGGUUUUAUUGGUUCUCACCUUCUAAAGAACCAUAAUGUCAUUCAUUUGAUGUUAUGAGGAAUUAGGACUGUUACCUUGAAAAAAUUAGAGUGUUUAAAGCAGGCUUACGCUUGAAUACAUUAGCAUGGAAUAAUGAAAUAGGACAUCAGAUUCUAUUUUGUUGGUUUCUAGGAUCGAUGUAAUGAUUAAUAGGGAUAGUUGGGGGCAUUAGUAUUCAAUUGUCAGAGGUGAAAUUCUUGGAUUUAUUGAAGACUAACUACUGCGAAAGCAUUUGCCAAGGAUGUUUUCAUUAAUCAAGAACGAAAGUUAGGGGAUCGAAGACGAUCAGAUACCGUCGUAGUCUUAACCAUAAACUAUGCCGACUAGGGAUCGGAUGAUGUUAAUUUUAUAAUGACUCAUUCGGCACCUUACG